GAUUUGACUCUGAACAAAUCAUAUAGGUCGCAAAACGAUCCUACGGGGAUUUUGGUGCUUGUUCAAUGCUUCUUAAGGUAAUCAUAUAACUUGGAGCACUAAUGAAUCUAACUUGGAGCACUAAUUAAUCGAAACAAGCCAAUGACAAAACUGAGGAAGACGGAAAAUGGGAAGAACUCAUGAUACCCGCAACAAACCCAUGAAGACAAUGACUUAUAAGUAUUAUGUUAUCUUGGUUGUUUUUUUUAUUUGUGUUCUAGAACUCACAAGUUAUCGGUCUUUACAUUUUUUAUUUGUCCACAUGUAUUAUUCUAUCUAAGCACAUUUCCUACAUAAAUUGUGAAUUCAUAGUAA